ACACACACACACACACACACACACACACACACACACACACAGGUGGGGAAGUACAGCCUGGUGCUGCGCUUCGUCAAGGGACAAUUCCACGAGUUCCAGGAGAGCACAAUAGGAGUGCAUCGACGGGAGAGAGGCAGGAAAUCAUCACUGGGGAAACAACACCGGAGCAGCACAGAUGCAAUUCUUUUUGUUCUUUAUUCAAGUGCACAGCAUGAUGACCCAUCGAAACGUUAGUCAUGUUGUGCACUUGAAUAAAGAACAAAAAGAAUUGUAUCUUCAUGAUGAAGGUUAACCCAUCGAAACGGUAGUCAUGUUGUGCACUUGAAUAAAGAACAAAAAGAAUUACA